rnacentral:rRNA from 1 species
CCUGAUGACGAGCGGCGGACGGGUGAGUAACGCGUAGGAAUCUACCCAGUAGAGGGGGAUAGCCCGAGGAAACUCGGAUUAAUACCGCAUACGCCCCACGGGGGAAAGCGGGGGUCUUCGGACCUCGCGCUAUUGGAUGAGCCUGCGUUGGAUUAGCUAGUUGGUAGGGUAAAGGCCUACCAAGGCGACGAUCCAUAACUGGUCUGAGAGGAUGAUCAGUCACACUGGAACUGAGACACGGUCCAGACUCC